GGAUGGACCCGCGGUGCAUUAGCUAGUUGGUGAGGUAACGGCUCACCAAGGCCACGAUGCAUAGCCGACCUGAGAGGGUGAUCGGCCACACUGGGACUGAGACACGGCCCAGACUCCUACGGGAGGCAGCAGUAGGGAAUCUUCGGCAAUGGACGAAAGUCUGACCGAGCAACGCCGCGUGAGUGAAGAAGGUUUUCGGAUCGUAAAACUCUGUUGUUAGAGAAGAACAAGGAUGAGAGUAGAACGUUCAUCCCUUGACGGUAUCUAACCAGAAAGCCACGGCUAACUACGUGCCAGCAGCCGCGGUAAUACGUAGGUGGCAAGCGUUGUCCGGAUUUAUUGGGCGUAAAGCGAGCGCAGGCGGUUUCUUAAGUCUGAUGUGAAAGCCCCCGGCUCAACCGGGGAGGGUCAUUGGAAACUGGGAGACUUGAGUGCAGAAGAGGAGAGUGGAAUUCCAUGUGUAGCGGUGAAAUGCGUAGAUAUAUGGAGGAACACCAGUGGCGAAGGCGGCUCUCUGGUCUGUAACUGACGCUGAGGCUCGAAAGCGUGGGGAGCGAACAGGAUUAGAUACCCUGGUAGUCCACGCCGUAAACGAU
rnacentral:rRNA from 1 species